AUUGAACGCUGGCGGCAUGCUUUACACAUGCAAGUCGAACGGUAACAGGGAGCUUGCUCCGCUGACGAGUGGCGAACGGGUGAGUAAUGCGUCGGAACGUGCCGAGUAGUGGGGGAUAUCGCAGCGAAAGUUGUGCUAAUACCGCAUACGUACUGAGGUAGAAAGUGGGGGACCUUCGGGCCUCACGCUAUUCGAGCGGCCGACGUCUGAUUAGCUAGUAGGUGGGGUAAAGGCUCACCUAGGCGACGAUCAGUAGCGGGUCUGAGAGGAUGAUCCGCCACGCUGGGACUGAGACACGGCCCAGACUCCUACGGGAGGCAGCAGUGGGGAAUUAUGGCCAAUGGGCGAAAGCCUGAUCCAGCCAUGCCGCGUGUCUGAAGAAGGCCUUCGGGUUGUAAAGGACUUUUGUCGGGGAGGAAAUCCCCAGCGCUAAUACCGCUGGGGGAUGACAGUACCUGAAGAAUAAGCACCGGCUAACUACGUGCCAGCAGCCGCCGUAAUAC
rnacentral:rRNA from 1 species